UUGUUUUAGCCCUAGGGUUGUUGUAGGGUGUAUAGAGGAGGAAGAUGUGGAAACACCUAACAGGGAAAGGGGCUGGGGGAGGGAAGGUUUCCAGCAGAAGGUGGCAUUUAAACUAAAGCAAGCCAAGAGAAGGAAGGAUAACAGAAUAAGGCAGAGAACCACAAACAGUUCCUUAAAAGCUGGAGGAGAAGGUAGGAGGGGAUUACAAAGAAGUGAAGUUAGAAGGAUUGUUAAUUACAUAGUACAUAACUGGAUACUCAUUCACUAUGUGUUUGUAUGUGAUGGUCUUUAUUGGUGUAGGAAGGUAAUUCCCCCAUAGAGCUCUCACAUUUCUGCUUGCCUUCGGAGCAGAGGCACUGACAGCUUUAGUUCCAGACUUUCUCUUCAAGGAUGCUUGUAGCCAAGGACCUUGGAUGGCAGAAAUGUCUCACUGGAACAGAAGGCAGGUUUAUUUGCCAUCCAGUACAGUAAAGGUUGGGUGUCUUAAGCUCAGAGAAACCUCAGGUGUGAGGCAAAACCUGUGUGUGUGGCAUCUAUCUGGACAGUUCCUGAUUGCCGUGGAGGGGUGGGGGGAGGGCAAGGGGGACCCGCCUAAACAUGAGGCGGUGCUACUUGCUGUGCUGGGAGUAAUAAAGUCCUUGCCUUAGAGCUAGGAAUCUUCUGCCUUCUGUCAAAGCUCAUGAAGCCGCUGUAGGCUAACCUUCCUAGCUCUUGACACUAGGUGUUUGCCUUUUGAGAAGCAAAAAAUCAGUUUGGGGCCUGGCUCUUUUUUUUAACAUACCCUCAGAGUUAAUGAAUCUUAUCCAUACUGGGCACUUGUGCAGUCCUAGCUGAGGUAGGAUUUUAGGCCAAUUGAAGGCUCCAUAUCCCUUCUAAUACGAAAAUGCUCUAGCUUAUGAAGCUUGUGGUGCCAAAAGGCAACGAAAUACAAGGUGAAUAUUUCACUGAUGUAAAAACAAAUGCCAAGAAGCCAGGCAGCGCUUGGCUUACCAAAUGGGAUAGGCUAUGACCUCAGACUGCAACAGGGAACACAUCUACCAGGUUAAAUUGAAAAAUCGCCUGCUAUCCAGGAAACAAGGACACAGUGGUAAUGGUAGCCAAAUGGGGUUUAGCCACGAGAUGACUCUAGCAAUGCCCACUUUGGGGAUGGGCAAUAAAAUAGAACAAAAGUCUCUGUGGACCUUAUAUUAUCUUCUCAAGUAUGUUCUUUAAAUUAUCAAAACCGUAGCCUCAACAGAGUAAGUUAAUGAAAUUAAGCAAUAGAAGCAAGUGUUAACUUCAAGAAACUUUAGUCUUUAACUUGACUGAGUGGGAUUACAUUCUACUAAUUUCAGAAAUAAGCUAUUUAAACAUUCUAGGUUGGGGCAUCUGGCUGGCUCAGUUGGAAGAGGAUGCAGCUCUUGGUCUUGGGGUCAUGGGUUCAAGCCCCAUGUUGGGUAUAGAGAUUACUUAAAUAAAUAAACUUAAAAAAAAUAAAAAACAUUUUAGCUUACAAAAGAGAAGAUCACUGUAAAGUGAACUUUUUGGUCAUUCAUCUUUGAGACUAUCUUUAACCACUCAAAACCUCUUCAGAACAUCCAAGUCUAAAUAAUGGGAUGGAAUGAAUAAAGAUGUGUUUUAUGUGACAAUAUAAUGUUUUCUUGGUGAGCCAGUGAAUUUUUUUUAAUUCUUUAAUAAUUAAUAUUUGUCAAUAAGACAGACAUUAGAGAAGGAUCAAAGGGAAUAUAUUUCUGUGUCUCUGGAGAUGCACUUUAUCCAAAUAUGGCAUUAUCUGAAAAAUAAAAAGUACUUGUUAUAUAAUGUGUAAUACAUUUCAUAGUUCCAGAAUAACCCUGAAGGCAGAGAGGACAAGUACUGCUUCACAGAUGUAGAAAGGAAGGCUUAGCAACAUUAAAUGACUAAGCACAUGACACUAGUCAAUGGCAGAAGCAGAACUUGAAUCCAAGUGCAAUGGACUGAGUGUUUGUGCCCCCCUCCCGAAUUCCUAUAUUGCACCCUAAUCACAGUGUGAUGGUAUGGAGAGCUGGGGCCUUUGGGAGGUAAUUAAGUCUUGAGGGUGGAGUCCUCAUAAAUGGGAUUAGUGCCCUUAGAAGAGGCCAGAGAGCCAGCUAGUGCUUUCUGCCAUGUGACACGUGGCAAGAAAACAGCCCUCUCUAAACCAGGGAGAGGACAUUCGUCAAUAACCCGACCAUGCUGGCACCCCGAUCUCAGACUUCCAGCCUCCAGAACUGUGAGAAAUACAUGUUGUUUAAGCUACCCAUUUGUUGUGACUUGUUAUAACAACCUGAACUAACAUACCUGUGUCUCCUGUUUUUAAGGCUAGUAUGUUUAAGUAAGACCACCCCUCUUUUGGCCUCCACAUCUCCAGGUAGAAGGCUGAAAAGAGAGCUUGGAGAUCUCCAGCUAAGCAAACCUGUUCCCUGGUCUUCACAUCCCUAUUGAUAGAAGCAAAGAGGAGUCCCCAGAACCCCAAGUGCUCUUAGCAAAGUCCCCAACCUUUCUCAGAUUUAACACUCAUGGCCUCACCACCGCUGGAGACGGUGAAGACUAAUCUCAUUCUGUUCCUUAUCCCUGUUUACUUGGGCUACCUCAGGAAGCCAAGAGUUCUGAGAGGGAGUCAAACCAAGAAACAGACUCAACUACAGAGUCAGAAGCGAUGGCUACCAGUGGUGGGGGGAUGGGUCAAAUAGGUGAUGGGGAUUAAAUAGUAUACUUACCAUGAUGAAAAAAUAAUAAAAUUAAAAUAAUGGGGG